UACAGAGGUCUCAAGCGUUGUUCGGAUUCAUUGGGCGUAAAGGGUGUGUAGGUGGCGCCGUAAGUGGGGUGUGAAAUUUCGGAGCUUAACUCCGAAACUGCAUUCCAUACUGCGGUGCUUGAGGACUGGAGAGGAGACUGGAAUUUACGGUGUAGCAGUGAAAUGCGUAGAUAUCGUAAGGAAGACCAGUGGCGAAGGCGGGUCUCUGGACCGUUCCUGACACUGAGACACGAAGGCCAGGGGAGCAAACGGG
rnacentral:rRNA from 1 species